rnacentral:lncRNA from 1 species
GGGAGUUUGUCUUAUAGAAACCUUGGAAGGAAACAAGAUUCCAGGCCUAUCCGUGCUUGGAGAUCCUACGGACAAGGCCACAAGAGGGACAACGUCAGCCAAGGGCUAGGUAACUCCGCCUCCUACCAGCUGUCUUUUCUUCCCCGGCAACAUCCAGAUCUUAGGUGGCCUUUCUGAACAAACUUCUGGAUCCCAUGGACUCCAUGACCAGGUUGUUGCUUAUAAAUAUCUGCUUCCAUUGAAGGCUUCUUGCAUCCCACCAGCUCUCUGGAACAUUCUGGAGUCAAACAUCUCCUAGACUGCCUGCAAGUGCCACUUGGCUUCUGGAUGGAAAUGUGGCCUGCUGGACACUGGCAGGACUCCCCAGAGCCAUGUGGACCCAGCCCCUGGGACCCUCUGCCCAGUCCUGACGACACCUGACAGAGGACAGCAUGAUGUACUUGGCCAUUCUUGAGGAUAUGUGCAAUUUCCAGACAUCUGCUGGUCUCCAUUCUGGACCAGGGUUGGGGACCCAGAGUGGAUCUGAUCUAGAUCAGCAUUUUCGGUUCAGGGUGUAACACCUAUUCCUGGAGCCUUGAAUGGUGCUUCCAAGGGACACCCAUUGCCAGGGCCAAGCCUUCAAUGCACAAAGGGGGAAACUGAGGCAAUCUUCAAAGAGACGUCAUUUGCCAAGGUCACAAGGCAAAGCAGUAUAUUUGUUGCUGAGAUUAGGAUCCAGAACAAUGCCUCCUCACCCCAGAGGCCAGCCUUUGAAUGACACACAAGGUCACUGCACUGUGUGAGCCAAAGACAUAUUUCAGGACCUACGGUCUCCAACUGUGACUGUGGCCCUUGGGUUACUUCAUUCUGCACUAGCCUUCAGUCACCCAAGAGAGAUGACCUCAAAGGCGCUCCCACUUCAGUUGGGCCUCUGAGAUUCCCUGAAAGUAGGUGUUUGGGCCUACCGAGGGACCAUGAUGAGAGGAUUUUUCUUCCUUCCACAAGACUGAAUGAAGUUAAGGAAUCUGCAGACAUUAGUCACUUCAGGCGCAGGCUGUGCAGACCAGUCUCAGGAUGAGCAGGGGUCUGUUUUGUGCAUUUUGGACCCCAUCAGACUCCUUCAAUGGUGAGUCCCCUGAUGAAGUAGGUAUGGACCUGUAAGAAUGGCCCUGGCUGGGUUGGAUCUAAUGAGGGGGAAAAAGCCAGUGAACCACUUGCUUGCCAUUGAGCUACAGCCUUAGGAAGUAUUUAUUUCUCCAAGUCCAUACAGGCUUGAUGUUCAGGGAUCCCAGGUGACUCUGCUCACCCAGAAUUGACAGGCAUAAUCCCCUGGAGACUUCAGACUCUCUCAGACCCUAACACUGGGCACAUGGGUUCAGCCCCACCUGAAACUGGGUUUCAGCAUUGCCGUAUUCAAAUUCUAAAGCCUGAGAGGUGCUAAGCCAAGUGUGACCAGGAUACAGAGACAGACACUCAUGAGGCCAGAUAGGGGAGGAUGGUCCUUUAAGGCCAAGUGUUCUGGUGCUCUUUCACUUUGCAAAUAGGGAAGGGGAGGCCCAGAGAAGAGAGGGGGAUUGCAUGGUACCCCAUGUGGGCUGGUGACAGUUAGGACUAGAAUCCACAUCUCCUAAUCCUUCUGCUUGGGACUCUUCCUCUGCCUUAAACACAAUCUGCUGGCACUGGGGCUAAGCUCACUUCCUCUUCAUCCCAGAUCUCUGAAUCCUUGGCAGAGGAAUCCUCAGCCAGGGCUGGGCCAUUCAGGAGCUUUCCCCUCACCAGAUGGUUCUUUCCUCCGCAGCUUCCUGGUGUCCCCUCCUCACCCACACAGUGCUCAUCCUUUCCUAGUUCCAGAAGCUUCUCCAGUGACAGGCCAGCACGGCUGCUUCUCUGCUUCUUGCCAUGGCUGCAGACUUUGCCAGGGUGGGGGUGUCCCCAGCUCUCUGCUCUUGAAGUCUCUUCUUCAUUGCUCCUGGGGUUUUCUUUCUGCUUCUGGACCAGGCCUAUUGAUCAUCCCUGAGCUUUAAAUCCCUCUGUCUUUCCUGGCCUCUGUUGGGCUGCUUCCUGAAGAUGCUUCCUUUGCAUGCCCAGGGCCAUUGGAAGUGAUCAGCCCACACAUCAGGUCUGCUCUGGGGCUUCUAAUGAGCUAAUCCCCUCACCAGGUACAUAAGGCAGGGGUAGCUGCUGCACUGGUAAACUCUGUCACUGGGGACACUCAGGUGCUAUUACAGAUGAGCAUAAAGCUGGGGUCCAUGCUGGCCUGCAAACCUGGGAAGAAGAAAGAGCGAGGAGAUACCAGUCACAGGGAGCGCUGGAGUAUGGAAAACAGGAGCCAGGAUGUAAGCUGUGUAAGAACAUGGUCAGGUCGGCAUCUAGAAAGAUUUCAAUUGUUGACUCCUGGAGAAUACAUUGGUGAUGGCCUAGAUGCUCCAUUCUGCCCCUGAGGGCAGAAUGCCCACUGAUACACAGGAAAGGGUCUGAAUCCAAAACCUCAGGAUCACCUGGUGACUCCACUGAUAUCUUUAUCCCUGUCUUUGAGAUAUUUCAGCCCCUGCCCCAGCUGCCUCCACCUGAUACCCAAAGACCAAGGAUGCAGGAAGUACACAGGGCCAUUAACCCAACCAAGCCACUUUUGUAUGGUCUCAUUAAAAAUUAUAUUUUCCUUAAGAUAAGGAUUGUCAUGUAAAACAAUCUGGUUUCUAAUUCAAAUAAAAAAAUCUGAAAAAAAAAAGAUAAUAGUCACUCCCAUUCAUAUCCAACACUUAUCCUGUUCCUUUCAUGCCUAUGGCCUUGAAUUGCUUUGACAAAUCAGUUCACCUAGUUCUUUUUUGUUCGUUUGUUUUUGUUUUUGUUUUUGUUUUGUUUUGUUUCUAGACAGGGUUUCUCUGUGUAGCUUUGGCUGUCCUAGAACUUGCUCUGUAGAUCAGGCUGUCCUUGAACUCAUAGAGAUUUGCCUGUCUCUGCCUCACCUAGUUCUUUUUCUUUUUCUUUCUUUUUUUUUUAGGUUUUUUGUUUGUUUUGUUUUGUUUUUCGAGACAGGAUUUCUCUGUGUAGUUUUGGAGCCUAUCCUGGCACUUGCUGUGUACGUCAGGCUGGCCUCAAACUCACAGAGAUCCACCUGCCUCUGCCUCCCAAGUGCUGGGAUUAAAGGCGUGCACCACCAAUGCCCGGCCCAGUUCACUCUUAAUAUCACAUCAGUAGUAGGGAUUGAACUCAGGUUCUCAGGUUUGGCAGCAGGCACCAUUACCUGAUGAGCCAUAUUGCUGGCCCUUCCAUUCUAAAUGUGACAAACCACCCCUUUCAGCCUUCUCUUCACCAAGAAAAAUAUCCCCACUCUUUCCACAUUUUAGUUUUUUUCUUUUAACAAAUAUACAAGGGGUACUUUGCUUCUUUCAUGACAGUCAUUCA